CGGCGAUGAUUCAAUAUCAUCCGCGCUUCUGAGGUUUCACGAUGAAGCAUAACGGAUCAAAAUGGUUGAAUUUCUUGAUAUGAGCCG
rfam:Glycine soja cultivar W05 scaffold358_50, whole genome shotgun sequence.